GUACUAAGAAGUUGCUAUCAGUUCUUCAGAAGGGGUUAACAAGCAAAAGGCGUCUGGGAACAAAGGGACGGGUUAAAUCGUGCUGUCGGGGCGGGGCCAGGAUGGAGAGGCCGAUUGGCUGAGACUCAAGGCGGGGCAGAUAGGCGCGGCACAAUUCCUUCCCUAACAAUAAGGCUAAGGUAUGUCAACGUCACAUCCGGUUUAGUGGGCGGGAGCGGGGAAAAACAAAAGGAGACGAAGGACGCAUGCGUUUGGUGAGUCCCGGAUUCUGGUGGGUUCUUCCGCUCAGGCUGAGUGAAGCGCUUCCGGGUCGCCGCUGGCGGUCGCCUACCCGCGCGAUGAAGACACUGAGGCCCAGAGAGGUUAAGUGACUCAGCCAAGGUCAAACAGUUAUCUAGGAGCCAUGUCCACUUUGUUCUCCUCACUCUUCCCUCGUGUGACUGAGACACUGUGGUGUAAUGUGGAUCGACCCUGUGUGGAAGGGACAGAGCUGAAGCAUCAGGAACAGCAGCAUCAGGCCUCGCUCCAAAGCAUCGCAGAGAAAGACAACAACCUGGUUCCUAUUGGCAAGCCAGCAUCAGAGCAUCAUGAUGAUGAGGAAGAAGAGGAUGAUGAAGAUGAUGAGGACAGUGAAGAGGACUCAGAGGAUGAUGAGGACAUGCAGGACAUGGAUGAGAGGAAUGACUACAGUGAGUCACCUGAUGACAGAGAGGUCAAUGAGGUGGCAUGGAAGGCAAUGAACAGGAUCGGGACCAGUGGAUGAUCUGGGGAGACAAGGCAGGGUGGCCUCAGGGAGAUUCCAGGCCAGCCCAACCUACCCUGCAUCCCAACCCCCACAGAACCAGCGGACAGCCCCAGUGCCUCAAAGUGCCCUUGGGCACCUCCUCAGCUGCUGCCAGGAUCUGGUCUCCUUGGCCUCUCCCAGGCCAUCAGUCUGCACUUGAAAUCCCCAGAGCCUGAGCCUCACUUCACCUUCCUGGCCAGUACCUCACCCCUUGGUUGCCAGGUCUGGUUUCUUUCUAAGUUUCUUUAAUAAAGACAAAGGAGUGAUUUUAAAACAAACAAACAAAAACAAACAAAAA